UACGGAGGAUGCGAGCGUUAUCCGGAUUUAUUGGGUUUAAAGGGUGCGCAGGCGGCGUGUCAAGUCAGCGGUCAAACUGCGGCGCUCAAUGCCGUACCGCCGUUGAAACUGGCGCGCUCGAGUGUGUGCGAGGAUGGCGGAAUGCGCGGUGUAGCGGUGAAAUGCAUAGAUAUCGCGCAGAACUCCGAUUGCGAAGGCAGCUGUCCAGCACGCCACUGACGCUCAUGCACGAAAGCGUGGGUAUCGAACA
rnacentral:rRNA from 1 species